UUCGUUCCACACGGAGGACUCGCGAGCGGCACGGAGCGAGCGCCGGGUGAUUGGCAGGCGCCGACCUCUCGUCACCUCAGGGCACGUUGGAGCGGCUGUCAAUCAUCCAUCCGGCAUGCUGUCUAAUUGUGACUGGCCGGCCGCACAGCAGGGCAAACGCUAAGUGCGUCUGACACCAACGUAUGGCAAUAUGGCCCCCCCGCCACCGCUCUCAUACUUCGUCUGUCCGCUGCCCGUUGAGUCGCCGCGUUUGACCUGGCCACAUCAAAGAUUCAAAAGUCAGGUUCAACGACGACGUCCUCAUGAAACACCAUUUACUUUGGUAAGUGUGUGUGUGUGUGUGGAAAUGGCCUGUCGAAUGUGAGCUUGUGUAAUGAACAAGAGCCAUUCAUUAUAUAUCACACACACAUGCACACACACAGGCACACAUCAUUUAUUCAUCUGUCUGUAAACAUGACUGUGAUUUACAGUGUGUGUGGGGGGGGGUGCUCUUUAUUAUGUGUCUUUACAUGUAGGAGUUCAUACACAGUUGAAGUUCAUGUCAAGAGUUUCCCUCUACCGUAAUGUGUGUCUAUUCAUGCAUAUUAAUAAAAAUGAAUACAAAUCAGUCUUGUGACGCUUGUAGGUUCGCACAUGUCGAGAAUUUCCACCCUGGGUAAGAACGUGUCUACCACCCGGAGAUGUCGGAACAUGUCGGAGUGCGUCCACGUCAGAGUCGAUCCAUGCAGAAAAUGUCAAUCAAUAAUAUGAAGCAAAUAAACGGGUGGCCGUACCCGUCGAAGUUGAUGUCGAGAGCUGUGUACCUGGUCUGUGCAUCUCCACACGUAGGAGUUCACACGUCAGAUAAAAGCGUCCCCUUUUUUUCCGUUGGCGACGUUAUCUCCCAUCUGUUGUUUCAAAUCAGGCCGGUUUGCAUUCAAACUUCCAACGGCAGAUUUUUCCUCUCUCAGGGCCAAAAUUCUUUUCUUGCUCUUGUCUGUUAUUGUUUGUCAGAACAAGAGGGAUCAAAUCCGCGCACUUCAAGCGUUUUUUUUUUUUUUUUAAGCCGGGCGCAAUCGCCUGAGGGGGACGUAUCAGGUUAGUCGGUGGGAAGUUUGAAAGUGGCAUUUUUUUCAAAUCCAGAUACCGUUUGGUUUUUAUUCACGUGAAAUUCCCCAUGCUUGUACAAGUAGGAAAACUGUUUCAUGAUUUCUUGCCGGUGUGUGUUUUGUCUGCCGGUCGGCCCCGGGGCUGCUGGAUAAUGUGGCGGGGAUCUCGAAAGCCGAGUGGGGGGCUUGGGGGCGGAGGGGGCAGGGUAAAUGUGUACUGUAAAUGGCCCACGGGCCCUAGUUUGCCCACCCCUGUUUUUCUCCUCACAUCUGUCCGUACAAUAAAACAAAAUAGCUGACAAAGUGA